AUGGCCUGGAUGCCUCUCCUGCUCCCCAUCCUCACUCUCUGCACAGGCUCCGUGGCCUCCAGUGUGCUGACUCAGCCUCCCUCAGUGUCAGCGUCCCUGGGACAGACAGCGACCAUCACCUGCUCUGGAGAGAGUCUGAGCAGAUACUAUGCACAAUGGUAUCAGCAGAAGCCAGGCCAAGCCCCCAUGACAGUCAUAUAUGGGGUCAGAGAGCGACCUUCAGGGAUCCCUGACCGAUUCUCCGGCUCCAGUUCAGAGAACACACACACCUUGACAAUCAGUGGAGCCCAGGCCAAGGAUGAGGCUGAGUAUUACUGUGAGAUAUGGGACGCCAGUGCUGAUGAUCACAGUGACACAGGCAGACAGGGAAGUGAGACACAAACCCCUUCCCUGACUGUGUCACCUUCUUCUCUAGAACCAGGAGGACUGUGCACAGAAUAG